UACGGAGGGAGCUAGCGUUGUUCGGAAUUACUGGGCGUAAAGCGCACGUAGGCGGCUAUUCAAGUCGGGGGUGAAAGCCCGGGGCUCAACCCCGGAACUGCCCUCGAAACUAGAUAGCUAGAAUCUUGGAGAGGUCAGUGGAAUUCCGAGUGUAGAGGUGAAAUUCGUAGAUAUUCGGAAGAACACCAGUGGCGAAGGCGACUGACUGGACAAGUAUUGACGCUGAGGUGCGAAAGCGUGGGGGGAGCAAACAGG
rnacentral:rRNA from 1 species